UACGUAGGGUCCGAGCGUUGUCCGGAAUUAUUGGGCGUAAAGGGCUCGUAGGCGGUUCGUCACGUCGGGAGUGAAAACUCGGGGCUUAACCCCGAGCCUGCUUCCGAUACGGGCAGACUAGAGGUAGGCAGGGGAGAGCGGAACUCCUGGUGUAGCGGUGGAAUGCGCAGAUAUCAGGAGGAACACCGGUGGCGAAGGCGGGUCUCUGGGCCGAUACUGACGCUGAGGAGCGAAAGCGUGGGGAGCGAACAGG
rnacentral:rRNA from 1 species